rnacentral:rRNA from 1 species
UGGGGAAUAUUGGACAAUGGGCGAAAGCCUGAUCCAGCCAUGCCGCGUGUGUGAAGAAGGUCUUCGGAUUGUAAAGCACUUUAAGUUGGGAGGAAGGGCAGUAAGCGAAUACCUUGCUGUUUUGACGUUACCGACAGAAUAAGCACCGGCUAACUCUGUGCCAGCAGCCGCGGUAAUACAGAGGGUGCAAGCGUUAAUCGGAAUUACUGGGCGUAAAGCGCGCGUAGGUGGUUCGUUAAGUUGAAUGUGAAAGCCCCGGGCUCAACCUGGGAACUGCAUCCAAAACUGGCGAGCUAGAGUAGGGCAGAGGGUGGUGGAAUUUCCUGUGUAGCGGUGAAAUGCGUAGAUACAGGAAGGAACACCAGUGGCGAAGGCGACCACCUGGGCUCAUACUGACACUGAGGUGCGAAAGCGUGGGGAGCAAACAGG